ACCCUACUAUGCCUAACCGUAACACGAUAAUCAAAUAACCAAUUAUUCGCCAAAUAACUACGAGCAUAAGCUUAAAAUUUAAAAGACUUGACGGUACUUCACAACAACCUAGAGGAGCCUGUCCAAUAACCGAUAUUCCACGAUUAACCCAACCCACCCUUGCCCAACAGUCUAUAUACCGCCGUCGCCAGCUUACCUUGUGAAAGAACUAAAGUAAGCAAAAUAAACCACCAUUUAACACGACAGGUCGAGGUGUAACUAAUGGGUGGGUAAAAGAUGGGCUACAUUUUCUAAUACAGAAAACACGAAUAAACUAUGAAACUAGAAACUGAAGGCGGAUUUAGCAGUAUGAUAAGAAUAAAAUACUUAACUGAAACCAACGCAAUGAAGUGCGCACACACCGCCCGUCAUCCCUGCCAACAACUACAAACUUUCCAUAAAACAUAUCACCCCAUAAAACAGGGCAAGUC
rnacentral:rRNA from 1 species